UACAGAGGUCUCAAGCGUUGUUCGGAUUCAUUGGGCGUAAAGGGUGUGUAGGUGGCGCCGUAAGUCGGGGGUGAAAUUUCGGAGCUUAACUCCGAAACUGCAUUCGAUACUGCGGUGCUUGAGGACUGGAGAGGAGACUGGAAUUCACGGUGUAGCAGUGAAAUGCGUAGAUAUCGUGAGGAAGACCAGUGGCGAAGGCGGGUCUCUGGACAGUUCCUGACGCUGAGGCGCGAAGGCCAGGGGAGCAAACGGG
rnacentral:rRNA from 1 species